rnacentral:rRNA from 1 species
GAUGAACGCUGGCGGCGUGCCUAAUACAUGCAAGUCGAGCGAACAGAUGAGGAGCUUGCUCCUCUGACGUUAGCGGCGGACGGGUGAGUAACACGUGGAUAACCUACCUAUAAGACUGGGAUAACUUCGGGAAACCGGAGCUAAUACCGGAUAAUAUAUUGAACCGCAUGGUUCAAUAGUGAAAGACGGUUUUGCUGUCACUUAUAGAUGGAUCCGCGCCGCAUUAGCUAGUUGGUAAGGUAACGGCUUACCAAGGCAACGAUGCGUAGCCGACCUGAGAGGGUGAUCAGCCACACUGGAACUGAGACACGGUCCAGACUCCUACGGGAGGCAGCAGUAGGGAAUCUUCCGCAAUGGGCGAAAGCCUGACGGAGCAACGCCGCGUGAGUGAUGAAGGUCUUCGGAUCGUAAAACUCUGUUAUUAGCGAAGAACAAAUGUGUAAGUAACUAUGCACGUCUUGACGGUACCUAAGCAGAAAGCCACGGCUAACUACGUG